CUUCAUUUGGGGUUAGCAGGGAAGGGGUUAAGUCCUCCUCUUUAGCAUAAGAGGGACCACAGCUGCAUGCAUGCCUUCAGCACAGAGCAGGGAGUGCUGGGACAGGGACAGCUGCCAUUAAUUAAGGGAUUCCCUUACACACCACAAAAUGACUUUUCUCCAGCAGCCUUGUUUGGCUGUGUGGAGGCUGAACUUGGGAUGGAGGCUGCGCUCCGAUGGCUGCUCCGUGCGAUGGGAACGGGCGUCUGGAACGGCGGCAGGAGCCGCGUGAGGACCUCCCCUGGCAGAGGCUCUCUUGCUCCCUUGGCUGGGACGAAGUGCUGUGGCCACAGGCAUAUGGGGCACACUGAGACAAACCGAGCAGCUUUUUGAGAAUGUCCUGAGACCCUUGGCAAUGGAGAGAGAUUGCAGUGCAAGCACUUUUCUGGAUUACUCUGUCACUGAUGUCAAAUCAAAGCAUCAAGGAUAUAAAUCUUCAGUAAACAUCUGGCCUCACUUCAGCCAGGUUAUGCAAUGCCUCAAGUACAUUCAGCAGCAGAUUAUGCUGCGUUCUCCUUUUGUGCAAUGCAAGCUAAUGUGAAUAUCAAGUCACAUCAGUGGUCUAGACAAGUAGUUGGGAGAUAAAGACAGCAACUCAAACCGGGAAGUUUGGCCUCUCAGGGCACGUCAAGGGAAAACUGACAUGUCACUGAAGACCCAGAAAGAAAGAAUGCCGGAGAAGAGGUAAAUCAUAGAAAAGCCUAAGCAUCACCUCUGCUCAGAUGGAAGAAGAAAAAAAGAAAAAAAAGCCAGACCCAAACCUUGCCCACCUGGGCAUCCUGCGUGGGAUGGAAUCCAGCCCUGCACUGCCCAGCAAUGGGUCUCCUCUCUGCUUUGUGCAAAGGAAGAUUAAGCAGAAGGGAUAAGAAAAGACAGGGGAAAAAAAUGCAUUUCUUUGCAGUAAACACAGCCUGCAGCCAUCGGUUUCUCUCAGCAUUGGAUGGCAAUUAUUUCUGUGUAAUAAGCAGUCACCCGAUGACCCUCCCCUUCAGCUUGCAACGCUUCUGCUGUCAAGUGUUAAUCCCUUUGUUAGCUACUCAGCUGCACAUUCAUUUAGGAGGACUAAUGACUUACACUGUUCCUUCUCUGCACGAUUUCAGCAGACGUGUAAUUAGAGGUGAAUGGCAGCUUCAGAGGUACGGCUACCACUGGGGCCGGGGGCAAAGUCAAAGUGUUUGUCUGAUUUCACCAUGGGCUGUUUCAGUGAGUGAAACCAUGUGGGCGGCUGCAUAUGGGGGGGAAAGGAAGUAGGAAAGGAGAAGCCAAAAAAAAAGAGAAAGGAUAAGAGUCAGUUGUUGGGCAUUUGGGGAGCUCGGAUGUGAAAACGAACGUGUUUCCAAAUAUUUCUUUGUUGGGGUGUGAGACUGAGCUGAAUGCCAGCGAGGAGCCUGUUGGCACACAGACUGAGAAGGUACCGAAAGGUGAAAAGCUUUGUUUCAAAGUGCUGGAGAUCCGUAGUCGUUAGCAGAGUGAGUGUGAGAGCCAGAAAGUGAUUAAAAAAAGCAAGUAUUUUGAAGGUGAGCUGAGGAAGUGCUCGCGUGCCUCCGCAGUGCCUUACAGAAUGCAGCCUCUAGUUUUUUUUUCCUAAGUGAAAGCCAUCUCUGCAACACCUCGAGAAACAUCCUGCGGCUCUUACACCAUGGGAAGAUGUCCUUUUGAAGUGCAAGUGAAUCCCUGCGUAUGUAUUAACAUCACAGGAUGGAGUAGAAAAGUAUAACAGGGAGCUGAGGUCCUGAUGGAUUUCAGGUAACAACAACAGAAAAAAGCCACAAAGAACCCCAAACCUCUUAGCUCUGAUUUCUAUGCAUAGACAAAGCACAGCUUCGCUGAGCUGCAGCGCUGCUCCCUGUCCUUGCAGCUGUUGGGGCUGAGCCGCAUCCCAGCAGUGUGCGGUGGCCGCUGCUUUUGGUGCUGCAGCGCAGCAUCCCCGGGGCAAUGGACUUCUGCUCUGUCCCAGCAGCAGCGCAGCAUCUCGCAGCUCCCACAGCUGCAUAUUGUCCCCUGCUUUCCCUUUCUUGUUCUUUUUCUUUUUUUUUUUCUUUUUGAAAGCUUACCCUGGGUUUUGCUCAGCCCUGUCUCCUCCCAGCAGUGUGCCUGCAGCCCAGGGCUCCCUCCUCUUGUCUGUUCUGGAGUGCGGUGUCUCUUUCCUUCACCCCCCUUGUGCAGACCCACAUCAGUGGCUGAUACAACAACUGUGCUGAAGAACAGCCACUUCCAUUCUCUUGGUUGGUUGGGAGGUAAGCAGAGUGCUAGUUCUAUGAAUUAAGAUAACACACCUGCACCAGCGCUUUGAAUUCAGGGGCAUCAUUUCAUUAAAAAUGACGAAACAGAAUAAAUCAAUAACUAAUUAAAAAUGGCUUUAAUUCAGUCUAGGCUUAUGAUCUAAUAUCUCACACAGUUGUCUAAUACAAUUAUAAACGUAAUUUCAUGCCUAAUGAAAUAUAAAUGAAGCAAAAAAGAACAGCAGACUCCAAAGAAACUUCUCCAUCAGUUGCCUUUGUGGCCCCUCCACCCUACCUGCAUCUCUGUCCCAUCUGUUAGGAAGCGAACAGCCAUCACGAUACAGUCUUAUCACUCAUACAAAGCCUUAUUAUUUCUCUGGUCUUCCCCUGCAAAGCGCUGAAGAGGAACUCGAGCAGCCUCAGAGAUGACACACGUUGGGCUUCCAUCUCCCCAGCAAUGCAGCCGUGUCGCCACUGUUGCUGUGCAGCCGGCAGGGACAGGACACGGUGUGGCUGACAGCCCUGGGGAUGAGGACAUCCAGUUCUGAGGGACUUGCGGUCUGCUGAUUAAUUAAAUGGACCUCAGAACGCUGCCUCUGCUUGCCACCCUUCGUAUGUCUGAACUGGAGCCCAUCAGUCAGCCUCUGUUGGUGCCGCUGGAACACCCGGGCAGCGCUCGGGACAUCAGACAAACCUGUGGGAGGGGAAGACAGUUACAGUCUGAUUUUUGGAUGCUUGAGGUGAAGAAACAGGCUCUGCCCGUGCAGUCACAGAUGGUAAGGCUGUAGGGUUUUAAAAUACACACUAAAUCAGUAUUCUGUCCUCUCUGAGGCGAGUGUGUCAGCAGCGUGUAGGAAACGUGACUGGGAACUCUAGGAUGUCACUGCAUACUUUUAAGAGCCUUCUGGUAAGAAGUUGCCAAAAGCAUAUGGUCUCUAUUAAUAAGGAUAUUUAGCAUUUUUCUUCCUAAUUUAUUCACGGGUAAUUAUUUGCUUACCUAGCUUGAAGUGGGCUGGAAUCCAGCUCUUAUCUGUUGUGGAAAGCUGUCACACUUCCCUCUGCCUUUCUCCAGCCCUCACUUGAGAGCAGCUAUGCAUCUGGCCAAGCAAAGCUGCCCUGCUCCUUCUCUCUUCUAAUAACUCAGAGUCUUGCCUGGCCAUUACAAACUUUAGUUUCUAAAAGCGGUGUGAAAAGUACUUUUCAAAGUACUGUGACAGUAAGAAAUAGAUUCGGCUGCUCCUCCUGUUGGCUGCCUGCUCCCUGCCAGGACAGCUGGCUCUUUCCAGGUCUGUGCCCACAUCACUGCAGUGCCAGAACAUCACCUAACCAACGCUUCAGAGACUCCGUUUUGUCCCACCUCUUCUGUUGCUGCGUUCAAAUGUUAAAGAAAAUAUAAAGGAAAAAAAAACACCUCCCUCAGAAGUUUUCAUCAAAGGUUUACUGGUCAGAGCCCGGGCUCUGUCUCAAAACUCUGCUGCUGUUCUUUCUAUGCGUAUCCUUCUUUCACUGCUCCCUGCAGUAAUCAGAAUCCCAAAUGCCUUCUUUCUGAUGAGGAUUAAGCCAUGACCUGCACAUGAUUGCAGGAAAUAAGCCUUUAAAAUAUGCCCAAAUGCACCGCUUGUUUGAAGUCACUGAUCCUUAAAAUAGAUGUCUGAAAAAAUGUGUAAUUUCAAAUGCUUCUGCAGAUAUUGUUCCAGUAUGUGUAACAAGGGGUCGCAUCAAGCCAACUUACAUCAGUUGUGCUCCAUUAUAUCACGAACUGAGCAAAUGGAUCCAAAUAUACAGUAAUACUUCAGCUGCUAAUGAAAGCCUUGUACAGUUCCUUUCUCUAGAUACCUCUAGCGAGAUGGUGAGAAAAUACCUGAUUUCUUUCUUUUCUUUUUCAGGGACCUUAUGAGAUACUGGUCAUGAAGUGCCAUCAUGGAAACCUCUGCAAGAAGCUCAAGCUUCAGGAAUCCUAAGGUACUAACUGUCGUUUAUAGGUCCUGUUCCUCUCACUGGUGAAGCUCUUUUGCUAUCAUUUGAUGUAUCGAAUACAUGGAUAGUAGUAGAACAGUAUUGUUCCCUCCUCAGUCUCAAGGCAAAACAUAACUUGGUCCUAUUUAAUAUUAAUUUAAUGUUAACAAAAUCAAGAUAAGUUCAGAAGUUUCACCUUGACUGAGGUUCUCAGCUCUCAUGCUUGUGUGCAUACGAACUGCUGAGAAAAACAUAUCAGGCUUUUCCACAGCGAUGAUCAAAGAAAAAUCACAAAUGCAGUGGACUUCAAAGCAAAGGGGCAACGGCCCAGCCUUCACUCAGUCAGCGUGCACAAAAUGGAAGGGCCCAUUACCUGUAGAUGGGAGAGGAGCAGAGCUAAGCCGCAGGUAGGUUUGUAUUUGAUAUCAUCUACUGACAGUGACGGGUCACAGCCUUGCCACAGCUGAAGGCUGUUGAGGGCCACCACAGAGCCUCCCAGCAGCAGUUCAGAUGCUGCAUGCUAUUUAUUUGCAUGCAAUUGGAAUCCACCCUACUAGUGUGCAUCGCUGACAGAUAGGAGGAAAGGAUUCACUGCAAGCACUGAGCCAGCACCGACAAGCCGGGAGGUGAAAACUCAGGAGCUUCACUGAAGGCAGCUGAAGCCUCCACUGCUGCAUAUUGUGGUGCCUGCAGAGUCACAGAGAAAUAAAUCUUGGUUAAAUUUUUGAUGAGCUUUCAGCUGCUGUAAAUAAUUAACUAGGGCCUCUCUCGUUUGAACACGGGUGCAACUUUUCAUGUUUCAAACGCUUCCUGCCUCAGUCCCAGGGGAUUGCUCAAGUAAUUCAGGUCAUUCUUUCUUUUAUUUAUUUGCAGCAUCACCGGUCCAAACAAAUUUUGAACUUUCAAGCUGGGAAGGGAGAAAGCAUUUUCUUCUUGAUUUUACUCCAGGUAAAUCCCCAAGGGAGCACGUGUCUCAUUUGCAGUAGUUGAAUAAUAGAGAUUGAUGGGUUAAUCAGUUCCCAUACCAUUUAUGGAGUAAUGCUGUGCGCUCAUAGAUGAAGUCUUCAUGUUUCUCAAGUCUGCUGUUUCAAAGAUGAGAGCACAGGACAGCUUCAUACAGACAGAUGCACUAAGGAGAGCAUCCCUGUGUGUCCCCCCCAGCUAAAGCACAUUGGGCUGAUCCCGCUUUUGACAGUGCGAGUACUGAAGUCAGUCCUGCAUCACCACCAGGUAAGCAGCACAAAAAAUGAGGUCUGAAGAACAACUGAUUUGUCCCUUCAUUAGGUGUCAAAAGGAGCUUGGAUAUUGUUUUAGGUGGAAACUCAUGCAUAGAUGAAGUGGGUGUAAACUGUAUUAAAUAUUGGAUUCAAACUCCAGAUUAGGGGUUUUGAUGUCCUAUCCCAAGACUUUAAUGUCUAAAUUGAACUACUAAAAUAGCUCCUUCCUCAGGACUCCAUCCUGUCCCGCUUAGUUCUAUACCCACACACAAUAGGUCACCUACCACUACUGUGGUCUGAGGCUGAUUUGGAUUUACUGCAGUGUCAUACUUUCUGUUUCAAUGCCUAUUGAGUAUGAUUUAUUACAAUGACAGACCACACUACUGUUUGCAAUGCAGGCCGAAUGCAUUCCCACUUUUUAAUACAGUUUCUCACAUCAUCUCCAGCAUUUGAGAGAAUGUAUAUUUAUUUUAAUCACCGUGUACUGAAUAUGUAAUUUUUUUCCUAGGUAAAAUUUCCCUUUAAUAGAGGCUGGGUUAUGAGAGAGCAAUUAUUUGAGUUAUGUGCACAUUACAGAAUAAUUUAACAUCAGCUUUUGGGUCAAUCUUUUUUAAUUAUCUAUUUUAUCAACUGGUUUUGACUAGCAGUUUAAAUAAUUGUGUUUGCCUAAUAUCUGGAAAUGUAAUUGCUUUUAGACAUCCUUUAUUCCAAUCCUGGUGUUGUUACCGUCUUGCAUACGGUGCAUGUUGGCACCUGUCUGUGCAGUGACAGAUUUGUGGUGACAGCUUAUAUAACUUAUUUAUAAAAUGAUGAAUUAUUUUUGAAUUUAACUUCAAGUUCACAGACUGGAAAAGUGGAGAAACACCUGCUUGCUGCAGAGGAUCUGCUAAGGAAGUCCAAAGGGAAACUAUGCACAGAGGGGAAGAGCACAGGCCAAGUGAAACAGAACCAUGUGGGUCAUCGUUAUGCUGUUCCAGGUAGGACUGUGGAUACCAAAGCAGGGAUGGGGUGACGGGGUGACCGAAGGAACAAAGGAACAGGCCCACAACCACAACAUCAUAGCAGGAAUUUUACUUACCUUCAGCCUCAAGAGGACAGAGAUUGAGGGGAAUGACAAAGAGAAACAAAAGAUAAGAACUUUUCCCAGGACAAAGGGAUGUUACUAUUUAUGAACCUGCAAGAGAAUUAGAGCUGAAAUACUUAGACAGACAAAAAAAAAAAAGAGAGAGAUUUUAAUUAAUGAUGAUAACUCUUAGAAAAAGAACCAGAUUGCCAGCCCUGAAAACUGCCAAUUCUUUUUAUCCACAAUGUAUACACAACCUUGGGGAGGCUGCUGCUAAGAGCCCCAGCACAGGACAUUGCCCUGAGCUUAGAGAAGUCCAACAUCUCAGUGGUCACACGCUUUGGCUUUUGCUGCAGCUGCACUUUGCAACAUGAGUAGCUGUGCACUACAUCAAUUCCAUGAUACAAUCAGAUCCGUUGACAUGGGCAAUUUGUCCCUAAUGACUUGAGUCAGCCUACAAAGGUUACCAAGAAUCACAAAUCCUACUCAGAUAAACGUAGAGUAGCAUAUGGUCCAUUCAAGGACCAAACCUAAGGAAGUCAUGGUAAAUGGAUUACCAGGCCCUUCUAAUACCUAGGGACAUUCUUAUUUAAAAAUAAACUAUAAAAAUAAAGAAAAAUGGCUCCUCAUUCAGAUCAAGUCAUUUUGGUUAAAUUCCUAUUAUCCUGUUUAAACAGCAUCCUUUUAUCCCAGUUUUGAGGAGCAUCAUAUCUGUGGGGGCCACGAGGCACAGAAUUUGGCAAAGCACCAACUGCAGAAUUUCUUCCUGAGUUAGAAGAGAGGGGGAGGGAUUGUAUUUUUUUAGUUGUUAAUACAUUCUGGAGCAAUGAGGUGUUAGCAGAAGCCUUUCACCAUCUCCCUCGACAUCCUGUUCCCCACCCCUCUGCAGCUGGAUGGGAACUCACCUCCCAGCAGUUCUAGGCAGACAGACUGGGGUAACAAAUCCCCUGGUAGAAAGAAAUGCAAUCUGACUGAUCCCUGAAAAUGUAAUUUCUAGUUCACGGGGGCUAACAGAUGCAGGUAGCUCAAGCUAAAGCAGAAGGGUACCACCUCACCACAGCUUUCUUACGGGAUGGAAAAGCAGUGAUCUUUACUACUGGAGACUGAUAUUGCAUAGAUUAAGUCAAAUGUAUCAACUUCACUUUAACAUGAGUGUUUCUAUUACCUGGGUCAGAGAGUCUGUGCAGUCACUCUCCAGAACCCGCUGUUAUUAAUUCAGCAAUUAUAGCUUUAUGGUGGCAGGGAUUCCUCGGUGUUUGAGCUGGCGCUGGAAAGCUGUAAUUCUGAAUGGAACAUGACAUGAAUUACUGGAUUGCUGUAAUUCUUCAGCUUUUCAUGCAUUUUCACUGCAUAUAUUAAAAUACAGCAAGCAAUUCACUUUUAAUUAUGUAAAUUCCAAGACAGUAAGACAAGAGAUGGAUGAGUUUUUAAAUGCCUGCUCUGCCUGACCACCUGUGGUUAGCACAGAAAGCCAUGGGCUCAGCAGGUCACCCUGCCCUCCGCACUCCUGCUCUCCCGGCUGUGCACAACACCGCCUCUUUUUAGUAUUCAGCGGUACUUCGAGAGCAAAGAGCACAGGAAAGAAAUGGCCAGAGGGGGGCUGGGAAAAGUCAGAUCCUGUCCACCUGCCUCCCUCACUUCUCUGGGUUUCCAAACAGACGAUACAUCACUAUUCUGACAUCAACAUAAGACCGCAAGGGCUGCAGAUAUUUACUGCUCUCUUAUUUGGCAAUUAUCUUCUCAAUGUUGAGAUGUUAUUAACAACUUCACCAGAAUAUAUGAGUCAGGAUCAUAAUUCUACAGCUCUAUGCCUGGCUUCUUUGCUGGUCCUUAGCAAAGCUCACGGCUGCAACCAGCAGCACGUCCAUGCACAAAUGUGUGCAGUUAUUGUAAAGGAGAAAUAGGUUACACCGUUCUCAAAGACAUUGUUUUUAAAUUGUAAGAUUCUGAGUGCAAGUAAUGAUGGCUUGUUAAAAGCCUAGUGACUGUAUCUAAUAGCUGCAGUGUUUGGCGCUGUAAUUACAGUAGCAAGAGAUUGCUGAGCACGUGUAAAAAAGGAAUAAUUGGGGUAGCAGCAACGCAAAAGCUUCUCUGGGCCUAAAGCAACUGUUAUUUUGCCCUCCCACUGAUGUGCCACUUAACGAAGCUACAAUGGUUGGAAACGAGCUCUCUUUGCAGUUAAGUUGGGUGUUUUCUGUUUAGGAGCCCUACGGCUUCACCCCCAGUACCUCCGCAGCUCAGGACGCAGAGGUAAAAUUACACAAACGCUUAUUGCCUUGCCCUGCGAGAAUACAUCUGCCUCUCCUCCCUAGAGGCCAGGGAGAACUUUCAAGCAAGCAAAUUAGCAAUGCAAAUCUACAGCGACCUCUCCGAGGAGAGAGCACUGCUGUGCUCUGUUCUUCACGUUAGUAUUUCCAACCCUGGUGGACACUUUCCAUUUUCUCUAAUCUCUUCAUCCUCUUUUCCCCACCUAGGGACGUUUCUUUGCACAUCUCAGUCUUGCUUCUCUAAAGGUGGUUUCUUGCAGCUUCAUCAGCAGCUAUUCUGUCUGCUGGAGUCUUCUGCUGCUUUCCUGUGUGCCUAUUGCAGAACUGCAAAAGAACACCAUCUUCCUGAAGUAGUAGAUGGAGUGCAUUUCCAUCCUGCUCUUGGCAUUGCUAUUACAAGCUUCACUUGGAUGUGGCAUGUGCCCCCAAACCCUGGAAUUCAGCCUCAUCCCCAAGCUUUUUGAACCUCUCUGCUCUGUUCUGGCAUACCUAUUGAUCACAUCUAUAUAUCUAGCCAGAAGCGAACCUUACCUUCACCCCUAAAGCUCCUGCAGAAACCUCACUUGUUUGUUAGUCAGCUGCUUUCCUGGGUCACUGCGGGUCUUUUCUAAAAAUCGUGUGCAAUUUUACCGCUCGCUGAGCGAAGAACAGAACUACCUGCCUUCCACAGAACUACCUGCCUUCCUUCUUUACCUGCUUUGCUUUCACAGAGCAAUGCCUUUCUGGGCAGGGAUGCUACCGCAUCAGGCACUUACCAACAAGUAUCACCAUGUUCCCUACUUCUACUCCCAAGCCAUCGCAUGACUUCUCUCAGUCUCAGCGUGAGACAAGCCUGAUUUGAGCCAACAAAACAUCCGAACACAUGUUCCUCUAUGAAUUCAUCAGCAGAAAAGGCUGAGACCCCAGAACUAAACAACUGUGGUACUCUUCCCACUGCAGUAGGAAAAGUACCUCUUGCUCAUUGUGAGCAGUCGCUGGAAACUUUUCUACGUUCCAGUACACAACAGGAAAAGCAGACACUGUGUUUAUAACCAGAAGGAAAAGAAGAGCGCAAAAGGAGCUGCUGGCUGUGGGACUGAGGGAGUUCUUUCAAAGUAUAAAACGAAGCACAAGACUUGUGCAGAUCCUUCUGUAGUAUCCUGCUGUUGUGUAGCAGUGGCAGUUGCAACUCUUAACAUUAAUUCUGCAAUACACAUCUGCUGCUGGUUCCACCAACCAAAGACUGUGUAAAGAUCACCUUGCAAUGAGAAUCAGUUUAGCUCCAUUUAUUUCUUUAACGUCAGUGGAAUCACAGAGAUCACUUAUAACCUUGCAUGUUAAGUAAAGCAAUUAAUUGCACUACUGCACCAGGUUUAGACAUGAAAGGCAGACUUAAUAACAGGUUUAAAGAAAAGGCUUAGAGUAGGGGUUCAGAAUGCAGAAUAAGGGUUAGUGACAGCUAAUACCAGCCUGUAUAUAGAGAGCAAGGUUAAUAGUUGGCUUAAAGAUUGCUCAGAUCAAUAAAAGAACAGCACAAUGUACAUAAUAUGGGAGCUCAAUAAUAUUUGUUUCCAUCAGUGUUUUGAUGGAAACAAGUGGCAGAAGCACCAAGACUGCCCCUUCAUUUAAAGCAUGGUUUACAUGUGCAUGCUGGCUGCCAGACUGGAAACAUCCACUUCUGGCCUCGUCUCGGGGGGCUUCCCAUGCAGCUGGUAGAGAGCAUGGGAUGCAUUUCACAUCAGACUACAAAGGCAUCUGUGGAGCCUGGCUCUGACAAGGUAUCCUCCAACCAGACAUCAGUGCGGGGUGGGAAUGGCCCCGUACUGCCAAGACACGGAGGGUCUGGAGCCUGGGGUGGACUGAAGAAAUGGGGUCUGGGUUAACAGCAUGGCUGGAGUAACUGGUGGGUACAAUAGGGCACAUAACACUUUUUGCAGAGGUCUGAAGGUGAACUGACAUACAGCUCUCAUUUUCAAGGAACAUGGGAGGCCUAUUUUGCUUAUUGCUGAAAGAAAUGUAAGAAUGUUUGAAUUUGAGGCGCCUCAAUACCUUUUUAAUACCUUUGUUCUUAGCGUUCUUAACACCUGCUUAGAGCGAGCAGAAGUGGAGGUUGGCAGGGAAAAAUUAGCAAUUGCCCACCCAUCAUUCAUUUCCCAGGCUGUUCCCAGGGCACAGCAAUUAUGCACUUCACCUCGCUCAGGACAGGCUGUAAAAUCUCGGUAUUGUCCUUAAGUGCUAAAUCAAAGCAAGCAAAAAACGGUAAGUAAAUGUUUCCCACGCAACUGCUGCCCUUUGUAAGAAAACUAUUGAACUGAAAAUGAAAGGCAUCCAUAGGUACAUAACCAACGUUUCUAAUUUUACUUGCAGUGAUCCAAGGCGCUGUUUAAACAGCGAUGCUAUUACAGAUUUACUUAGCUGGUUUCUUUCUGAGUGCACCAGAACCCUGAUCCUUGCAACAAAGAAUGCCAAACAAAGCAGCAUUAGGCAAGUUACUGUGAAACGAAGGCAUAUUUGCACAGCAAUAGAAAGAUCUAAAUGGGACCAUAACGAGCAACCAAAUAGUAACGAAGUUGAGGGCAUUGCUUUGUAGGAAACAAGUGGCUAUUCUGAACCCUGAAGUGCCAAAUGUACUGAAUCACAAGAGCUCACUAAAAUGAGAGCAAACAUCUCAAUCCCUUCUGAGUAUGUACAAAUAUCAAAGCGAUUUGGGGCUGUUAACCUCCUCAGCUCGGUGACGGUAUCUUCACCAUCAGCGCACAGCACUUCCCUGUUCACAAACUGUCCGUAUAAUGGUUCGGUUUGACUGCAGCGCAAUGCAUGACUGAGGGGACGUUAAUAUCGAACAACUCUGAGUAGCUCAGCACCAAGGAUGAUUUAAAUAAAACAGAAAGUAAAGGAAGCAACACUACCCUUUGUAUCUGACAAUGUAGAGGGCGAAGUCGUGCCCAAAAUAUUUGGAUUUUUGUUUUCACAUGGAUUCCAUUGCUCCCACCUUCCUAAAGAGCCGAACAGUUUUAAGUGUACUUCCUUUGUUUCUGCUGCUCUGUCCUCUCUAGUUCCAAAGCUACAGCUGAAGUGCAUCCAUUCCCCCUCCCCUGCUCUGGCAUCCCAGCAGGACGGCAGCCAGGUCUCCUGCCUGUAUGCCUCACCGUGUCAGCUCAAUUCCUCCCCCUAGAAACUGCCUUCCAGUUUGCUGAAUGUUCGGGGACACAGAUAAAUUGUAAAGUGGUCAUGGAAAUAUAAGAAGCAAAGAUAUCUUUCUUUCCAGAUUAGAUAAUUAUCCACUGAGAGAGGAAAUAGCAACAACAAAACGGCUUCAAAUUCUUCUGAACAUAAUUGAGUCUUUUAAGAAAUACCCCAACACCUAAACAGCCAUUUCUUUACUUGGAGGAGGGGAAAAUGCCAUAAAGCUUAAGGAGCAUUUUGUUCGGGAAAUCACAUCUUUCCCUAUUUUGCAGCUGACACAUUGCAUUGCAGAUCUGUCACAGCACAUUACCUCGGUGAUGUAACGUAACGCAACACUGCUGAUGCGACCCAAUCCGAUGUGUCCAACGUGAUACAUCAGCUACAAUAUUUGAAAAGCUUUCUUUCUGAAAACAACCUGUAUAGAAGGGACUCCUCUUUACCAAUUAAAAAAAAAAAAGCCUUCCCAAAGAAUUGCAUCACCGGGAGAUAAUUGCUUUUUCACAGGUAAUUAGCAAAUACAAUUAGUUGUGGGAAAAGUUUGCUUUUCAGCAAUUCACACCAAAAAAAAAAAAAAAAAAAAGGUGAACAAAAGAUGACUGCGGCUGACAAAUAACCGCUUCCCAUGGCACCAGCUGAACCCACCCGAGUAGCAGCGGUUACAGGGUCAGAUCACACCACCACCGGACUCACUUUCUGUUCCCCACCAACACUCAGAGGAUAACCAGAAGUUCACCUUGUGAACUCUUCACAAACUGUCUGGCAGCUGAUUUUGCUCACCUGUGCAGUCGAUGUUAAUCACAGAAUCAAACAAAGAUACACCUCUCAGCACACGCCAUGGGAAGCUCUGCAGAUGCUUUGAGGACUACCUGCAGUCCUGCAGAGAAUUGCUGGAUUUUCACAGACAGGAGGACACGGUCCAUGUCACCAUGAUCAGAUGAAUACUAAGGAUCAAUGGCCUUAAAUAUUCUACUGGAGUGGCAGUGGUAUUUGUCAGCAGAGGAGACUUCAGCUCAAGCAAAUGACACCUUACCGCAUUGAUGGCAGCCAUCCAGAAAGCAACAACCACCCCUCCUCCCUCUAUCACUUGUUGGAGGGCAAAUGAAAGCUAACCUCACAGAACAGCCUGGGUUGGUGGAGGGCAUCUCAAAGAGCACCCAGUUCCAACACCUGCCAUGGGCACGGCCUGCCAACCACUCCAUCCAUCACUCAGUCCCCUCAAACUGCCAGUGGCUGCUAUGGAGGGCUUCAGAUGCUGAAGCAGCCAUCCCCCCACGGCGCUCCCUUUCCCUUCCCCACCCAGCGCUCCAUGUGCAGGCUGCCAGCAGCAGGACUGGGGCGCAGACAGGGCGCCAGGCCCUUCCACUCACUGCUUAGACUGAUUUUUCAAGUGUAAAAUGUAAUUCAAAUCUCCAUAAAAAGCUAUUUGCUCCCUAGCCUCGCAAUUCUUACACCACGUUUCAACCGUGAAAUCCAAUUGGAAAAAAAAAAGAAGCCUUAUGUUCAAGGUCUGAAAAUCCUGCAAGAGCCUUUAGCUCUCAGACUGAAUUGUAUCUUAAACGCCAUCUGACCAGUUCUGUCUCUUUCCUCUGAUGGGAUGGCGUGGUGCCUGGUCUCUAAAAGCCUGAUCCUGAGAGCUGGGCACCCCCCAGACCUAAAUUCAGGUACUCGUGGGCUAUGUGUCCCUCCACAAAGCUGUUGUAACAACAGAAUCCAAGCUGAGCUUUCUCAAGUUUGAAAAUAUGGCCCAAAAUGCAACUGUGCAAAUUAAUCUCUGAAAUUCAGAGCCCAUGCUGCCCAGCUGUGAACGCCGCAGUAUCACAACCCCCUCUGUACCAUAUACACACGUAUUUCCAGCCCUUCCAGAUGCACUGCUGCUCUCCAUGCUGAGGCAAUUCAGCAGAGAGCACAAAUCCUGAUGCAUCUAUUGCAUGCCCUGGACUAUUCCCCCCCCCCCCCCCCUCACUGAUGUAUAUCUGGAUACUCCAGACCUCUUGAAUAUAAAAACUCAUCACAGCACUCUGGAACACAGGUUGAUACCUCAGCUGAUACACACCAGUCAGACAAUUCAGGAGCUUUCACCAGUUCAAACAUUUUCUGAAUCAGGAACUUUCAGUUGGGUCCAAGUACGGUAACAGCACAGGGUUGCCAGCAGCCCAAGUUCUAACCCAGAAAUAGAUAAAGCUUUGAAUUGACACAACUUCUAAUCCCUUAGUUAACAUGAGUUAUAGGAAUCAACACUGAAUUAUAGGAAACAACACAAUGAUUUCUAUUUGCACACACGUUCUGCUCCAAUGCCAUAAAUCAUAACCACAACCUCCACUGGGCUUUCUACAGGCACAGAAAUAGGCAAAAAUCAUUCAUCUUUCAUUAAACACAAGAGAAGUUUCUGGCUUUUAUGAUGAUAACACAAAGCCUGCAAAUACAAUCUGUAUGUAUUCUACAGGCUCAGAAUGAGCCUCGUUAUCAGUGUAUCAUUAGCUACAGAUUGUCCCCUUGUCAAUAGGAUGUGAGAUGUUUCUGAAGAGCCCCGAAGUGAUGUGUGCCACACAUGUGAAUUGCUCCAUACACCCAACCCAGCACAACGUGCCACCUGACCGCGUUAAGCUCGCAGAAGAUAGAAAUCAGAAGAGCUUUUUCCAAACCAAACCUCCCUCUGGGUUCUCUCUCCUGACCUCUGGGUGUGAAGGCAUGCGGCUCUCAAAAGGCAUUCUGGAACUUCCAGCCGUCCCUUAUAUCACACAUCUUUUGCUUUCUGCUGUUAUGACACCCAGCCCAUGGGACCCUGUGCUUCUGGGUGAAAUCGGCCACCCCAUUGGAAAGCCAUCAUGCAGUGGCAAUUAUUUCUCUGCGAGCACUAUUCACCCAAUAUCCUGCUUUCUGUUGGAAGAAAUGUUGGCCCGGGUGCCUGACUUCUAACGAAGAACACUUCAUUAUAUCUCAGGGACUGGGAAACCUCAUCUGUAUCUAUUUAUAUAGCACACCUAUGGCUGUGGGAAGAAAAUACCUUUUUUCAAGUCAUGGGUUUUGUUCCAUGACAUGGCAGUUAUCUGCGGCAACAUCAGGUAACAGCACCACCUUCUGCCAACACGUUACCAUCUCUGUAGAAAACCAAUAGAUGCAUUUUCUCUCUGCGAUUUCAGUGGCUUUCUCAAACACUUCUGAUGCAGACAACAAAGUUCAGAGCAAAGCCCUAAGGGCUGUUUUGAAACACCCCAAGCUGUCUUACAGUGAUGAAAUUACUGUCAUGUAACCAACUUCAGAGGUGCAAUGAAUGCCCUGAGCUGGGCAACGCAACAGGGUGAGGCCGGCACUAUGAAACAGCCCUGGGAGGACAGCUGGGCACAUCUGUCUGAGUCUCUACAGGAAACUCACUCCCCAUCUCCGCAGUGUUUUACAUUGGUCCCCAGAGGUGCACAGAAGGGUACGGUACGUCCUACAGCUUUAGAUGAUUUAAGAUGCCUGAAAAUAAUCAUCUUUCUUUUUCUCUAGGUUCUCUUUGUCCUUAGCAGACAAUCUGGGACUGCCUUGCCUUCAGAUGUCCAAAUUUUAGGCAGUUGACUUUCAGAGAGAUGAACAUUACACAAUACACGUAUUUGCUUUUGAGAGCAAAACUGUGUUUUUACCUCAACAAACGCCCUAUUUUCCUGCCAAAUUCUUCCCUCUGUGUGGGACCAACGUGCACAUGGAGCCAAGGAACGCAGGAGAAAUGGUGUCAGCGGACACAGAGGUGAAGAAUAAGGUGCCAAUCAAUAAACCAGUAAUUAGCUCUGUUUGGCAGGCUGGGGGUGUUUGGGUUUUGGUAUUUUGCUGUUGCGUUUUUUUUUUUUCCUGCUGGUUUUGAAAGAAGUUUGCUUAUCUAAGUUUUAUAACCACUUAAAUGAAUCCCAGCUCUGUUCAAUUCAAUGAAAGCUUUUGCGAGACAGCUGUAAUUUUAUGUGCAUGUGUUUCAGUAAAUUAGAGGGUUUAGCCUUAAGGAUUCACUUUAGUGUAAUCUACUAAAAAGAUAAGUAGAGCCAGAUGCAGUGUCUUACAACCGCUGGACAGUUGCAACUGGAGCGACAGCACUGACAGCAACUUUAUGGCUUUCCUCAUAGGGAGCAGAUUUCCUGACUCAAAAAGAGCAGUAUUUUACAUAAAUAGUUGUCAAUAUUUUGUAUUUACGAUGCAAAGAAAGAAGGGUGCAAAUAGUGAAAAAAUGAAAUAAAAUUAGCCCAAACAACUGAUAA
ensembl:lncRNA